AGUAACGCGUGGGUAACCCACCUUCGAAUCUGGGAUAACUCCGCGAAAGCGGUGCUAAUACCGGAUAAGACCACAGCCGUUUCGGCGGCAGAGGUAAAAGCUGACCUCUCCAUGGAAGUUAGCGUUCGAGGACGGGCCCGCGUCCUAUCAGCUUGUUGGUGGGGUAAAAGCCUACCAAGGCAGCGACGGGUAGCUGGUCUGAGAGGAUGAUCAGCCACACUGGAACUGGAACACGGUCCAG
rnacentral:rRNA from 1 species